rnacentral:lncRNA from 1 species
GUGUGUUUGUUUGACGAUUGCUAGGCUCGAGUUCCCGACUCCUUAGCGAUUCGUUGUCUGUUUGUUCUUGUUGUGUGCUUGGAAGCCGGUGUAAGUCCAUCGAUUGGCAUCUGGGUUCCAGUGUGGGUGCGUUUGGUUCGGAAGCCGAUAUAAGUCCAUCGAGUGGCGUUCGGGUUCCACGUUUGCCUGUGGUGUGUUUGUGUUGUUUGG